ensembl:lncRNA
GGCUGCUGAGAACCAGCCCUCGACCUCUGCUUGAGGGUCCUUCCUCUGAAGACAUCACCAGCGUGUGGAGCCUGCCCCACACCCACCCCCUGCCAAACCACGGCCUUUACCUGUGUCUUCCGGUGUUUCCCGUGCGACCCAUCCUGUGGGAGUGCCUCGUGGGCUGCCCCGGAGUUCACCCCACGCUCAGCAGCACCAAUGGUGAAGAUGACAAGAUCCAAGACUUUCCAGGCAUAUCUGCCCUCAUGCCACCGGACCUACAGCUGCAUUCACUGCAGAGCCCACUUGGCCAAUCAUGAUGAACUUAUUUCCAAGUCGUUCCAAGGAAGUCAAGGACGAGCAUACCUCUUUAACUCAGUGUGAGUGUCUCUGAAUGGUACACCCAUUGUUCGGUGCAAGUUUUGAGGGGAGGGGAAAGCCAUGAUCAUUAAAACAACGGGACCUGUCCUCUCUGCCUCCCCACCCUCAUGGAGCAUCACUCACCACAAUUGGUAGCCAGUCAUCCUCAGGGGACUUUGGGGAGCAGCAUCUUUGGCUGAAAAUAAUACAGUCGCUGCCUGCCAUAAGCUUAGAGGGCAGUAGUCUCCUCAACACAGAGGUCCUGUAACUAGAUCUGAGACAUGUCACUGGAGAGGAGAAGGAGGGUGAACAGAAGACACGGGGAUGUGCUGGAGGAGGAGCCUCAGUAACGUGGAGUUAGUGAAGCGCCCGCAUCCUCUGCUGCAGAUGCACAGGCUCCCCCAGCCCACAGCCAUCGGCAGCAUCAUUUACUGCUUGCUCUGAGGAAGCAAGCCUGAUGAACUGUGAAAAUGGAAAUCUGGCGUGUUCAGCUUGAGAUAAAAGGUGCUCUGUGAAGGAGUCUGGUAUAUUUGAUAGACGGGGCUCAGCCAUCCUUGUGAUCAGGACAAGACUGAACUGUCACAAUUGACAUCCCUGGGCUCAUUCGGUCCUCAGGGAGCUCUGAGCACCUGUGCUCAUCAUGGCUGUGGACGGCAGGGUGGUUGUCAGUUUGCCCCCUUAAAUCACAAGACAAAAGGCAUUUCCUAGAAAAAUCCCAAACAGAGUCUCAACCAUAAAGACUACCUUUAGGAGUGCUCCUGUGGCUCACAAGAUGAAGGAUCGGGCACUGUCCCUGCAGGGGCUUGGGUCGCUGCGGUAGCACAGGUUCGAUCCCUGGCCUGGGAACUUCCACAUGCUGUGAAUGCAGCCAAAGACUCUUUUCAGUAGACUCAUUGAAUCAGAACUUGCAGAUAUGAUUCAUCUCAGUGGAGAUGUUUCCAUGUAGCUGCUUUGGGGGGGUGGGGGUUGUUACUGAUUUCAGUUAGAGCUGUUGCUCUUCUCAGUGUUGGCUUCCCUUCAGGCAGCCGUGCUCAGUUCAUUUUUUGCUGGAAGUUCAGCUUGAUCAGCGGAUGACGAGUGUCUGCCUGACUUCCCUCCCCCCUCCUUUAUCCCUUGGCACAGAGUGAACGUGGGCUGCGGGCCUGCGGAGGAGCGCGUGUUGCUAACAGGACUGCACGCCGUCGCCGACAUUUACUGUGAAAACUGCAAAACCACUCUGGGCUGGAAAUAUGAACAUGCCUUUGAAAGCAGCCAGAAAUAUAAAGAAGGCAAAUACAUCAUUGAGCUAGCACACAUGAUCAAGGACAAUGGCUGGGACUGACCGGAGAGCAUCUGCCCAACCCCGUGUCCACGUGAACGCCAUCCAACUGAACAUUCUACCCAAGCGUGAGAGAGUGACUGAACACUUGGUUCCAUCCAUUUAGGGGCCUUGCCAUCGGGGGCAUUCUCCCACCCUGACGCCAUCUUGCUGGUGACCGGCCUCUAAAUCGCUGUCUCUCUGUCUCUUUGCUUUGUCUCUGUUUGUGAGUUGAUCCUGGCUUCUCUCUCUGUUCUAGUGUUAGCUGAAAACAAAACAACGAAAGGAACAGAUGCCUGCCCGCACGGUGGCAGCCCCCUUGGACGAGGGCCCCAGGGCCUGGGAAGAGCCGCCUGGUGGCCUCUUGUCAGGAGAGCAGUGGCACAGCACGGGGGUGUGAGGAAGAGGGGGACCGCGAGGGGCCCAGGUGGGUAGGGGAUGGGAGAGGGUCGCGCGAGGGACAAACGUGUGCUGCUCCUGGACACCUGGUAACUUAGGCUUGAAAUGGUCGACUUGUCUAAAAGGACAACGAGAAAAAGCAAACGAAAAAAAAUACCUCAUGACUGCAUUCUCUCUGAUCAGAAGCUUCCGUUCCUGACACCCAGUGUGCCAGGUUCGCACAUGAGCACAAGGAGGGGCCCUAAUUCUGGAUGGCGGGGCAGGGGUCUGCCUCUCCCGGUCCAAGCUGCGGCGCGUCCUGGGAGGGGCCCAGAUGGUGUCGAUGACCCUGACGCUUCCCUGCUCCUCCGGGUCAUCUUCUUUGCCUCUCCAGCCGCUGUAGGUGACAGGAGAGGGGACUGCCACGUGCAGUGGGUGCAAGAUCCCGAUCUCCCAAAGGCUUUGACCCGCCCCCAAGGGAAAUCAAUAAUCAAGGAGACCAGGGAACAAAGCAGGAGGGGGGUGGGGGGGGGCCAUUUGGGAGCUCCCUCGGAAGUGGCUCGGAAAACGGGCCAGAGGAAAGAAAAGGUAGAGCCCAUCAGGAAUUUGGACUUCUCCUCCCUGAACCUUAAGAGAAGAGCACUGUGGCAAGAAAGGGGGGCGGGCCGGGGGCAGUGCCAGGAACCGUCUAGGUUGGAACCAUUACAGGUUAGGCGCGUCUCUCUUCUUUGGCAUGCGGUGGUUUCACGGAGAUCCGCAGUUCCUUGUACAUAGAGCUUGGGGUGCUUUUCUCCAUCCGUGCAGAUUGUGGAAAACCAGGUCCCAAAGCUUCCAGCUGAGUGCGCCCCCUGGCCGGUCAAUUUCUCGUGCCCUGAGCGGUUCUCCUUGUACUUGGAUGUUGUGUGUGGAGGGACGUCUGUCCGUGUGGUUCAGCGAUAGGGAGGCUUAGCUUUGAUGUCCUUUGGCAAGUUAUGAAUUCCAGUGUUACACCCCCUCAUCCAAAGUUCAUGCUAUUAGGGAAGGGGACAGCAGGUCCCCGAAAGGCUCAGGAGCGAGAGAGGAGUUUGUUACGUUUAAUCAACACUGUGAAGUCUGUUCUACAGCAAUUUAGCCAGUACGCAGGGCAUGACCGAAGCUCAUUUAACGGAGUUCAUUUCACUGCGCAGACCGAAAAUAUUAUUAUGACUAAGAUAGGUGUAGGUUAUGUUAGGUAAUUCUCAGCUUCUCUUUCUCCAGAUAGGCUGAUUCCCCUAGGAAAACUCUCCUGAAAAAGUCACAAAAGAGUGAGUUCACAGAUGAGAAUCGGUGAAAAUUCUCAACCGAGAUGAAAGCAGCCAAUCCAGGACAUUUUCAGAAUUGAACCAAAGUCCCAGAGGGAGCGAGACUGUUGUGGCAGGGCGUUUUUGUGUCUCUGUGUGCUGCCGGGUGUUGGGCAGAGGGGCCUGGCACAGUAUGGUCCUGCCCUGGCAGAGCCGGGCCGCAGGACUGUUGGGAAGCUGGGGAGCCCCAGGUUCAGCCGUGGACAGCCUCUGUAAGACAAAGCGUUCUUAAAAGAACCGAAGUUUGUUCCCAAAGGCUUCUUACCCACAUCUUCCAGUGCUUUCCUAGCCCUGGGGGAUUAAAUGUUCUCCCCACAUUACAAAAAAGCAGACUGAGGUUCCCAGGAUCCCAGAGAUAUGGUUGCCAGGCCCAAGAUCUCGAUAAGAAACAUUUUCAACUUUCACAUUCCUAAGCUGGCUUGCCAGCACAGAAAUCACAGGCUCCCUUCUCCAUCCCAGCCCUGAAGGUAGUGGCCCUCAUUUCUGAUUAGCCCCUUGACUCAGGGAAUGUCCUGGCUAUUGGUAAUCCUUUCCCUACAAAGAAAACAUGGAUAGGCAUGGAAAAAGGGAGUGUGGUGACCUAGAAAUCUGGACCUGAAGUGCCCUGAAUUUUCAAGGGGCAGAGGAGACCGAAGCGCCACUGUUCUUCCAUGGGGAUGGGGCCUCUGACUGUCGGCAUGGAUCAGAGCAGGCUCCAAUUAGACCCUGGUUCUGGUGGGUUUUUUCCAACGUCUAUCCAUCGAGCAUCCAUUGGGUACAUGGCGCCAUACUUGGUGCAGGAGAUCUGAGCAGGAUGUUGGUACUCCCGUAACUACAGGGGAAAAAAAAGAUUAGGCUUUUUCCCUUUGUGUCAAUGAAACCAAAAGUGCUUCUUAAAACUUUAGCUCCAUUCAUGGCUUGUCUCACCUCAGUCUAGUAUGGGAGAGACCACAGCUGAGCGAUGGCGAAACAGCCACUCAAGGCCUCAGUCAGUUCUUGUUUUAAUUUCCUCACCAAAUUACUGACUCAGAGCAUAACCAAAGACCUCAUCCAUUCACCCCUGGUGGGUUCUUCGGGGAAUUGAAGGUCGGUGGUAUCAAUUAGGCGGGGCACCGGGAGCAGAGAAGCGAGGAAGGGAGAGACGUGCAUGAAGUUCUAUACCUCAGCCAGCAACUGCCUUCACUUUCAACUCAAGUCCAGCCGGCAGACUCUAGUUCUAUGUCCCCCGUGCCACCCUAGGGCCUUGGCGGCUCUGGAUUACACCCAACCCCGCAGGAUGCUAGUCUCAGGCUACUGAUGGGUUUGAUUUGACAAUACAUCAAACACAGCCAGGCUUGACUGCCAGAUUGUCAGCUGGGCCUGACCGAGGGCUUCUCCAGCUCCUCCAGUAAGAUCCCUAAGAUAGGAUAGAGGAAAUCUGGACUGGUGGGUCCGUGUAUGAAAGAGACGUGUCCCCUUUAGAAAAAGAUUUUCAAGCGGAUAUAGAAGAAACAGUUGCUUGUGAAAUAUACUUUUGUAAAUAAUAUUUAAUUUUUUAAAAUAAUAUAUUUGGUGCUGUUUUCUCAGAUCCCCUGAGAGCACUUUUUAUUUUCAUUUUUAAAAUUCUAUGGUUUCCUCUGCAUUUCUUGAAGUAUAUUUUAAGGGAAUCAGUGAUCACCAAUAUACUCUUUAAAAGAAAAAAAAAAAA